GUGGGUAUAGUUCAGUGGUAGGGCAUGUGCUUAGCAUGCACAAAGUCCUGGGUUCAAUUCCCAGUACCUCUA
rfam:Camelus ferus unplaced genomic scaffold scaffold1164, whole genome shotgun sequence.